rnacentral:rRNA from 1 species
GACGAACGCUGGCGGCGUGCUUAACACAUGCAAGUCGAACGGAAAGGCCUUUUCGGAGGUACUCGAGUGGCGAACGGGUGAGUAACACGUGGGUGAUCUGCCCUGCACUCUGGGAUAAGCCUGGGAAACUGGGUCUAAUACCGGAUAGGACCGCACUUUAGUGUGUGUGGUGGAAAGUUUUUUCGGUGUAGGAUGAGCCCGCGGCCUAUCAGCUUGUUGGUGGGGUAAUGGCCUACCAAGGCGGCGACGGGUAGCCGGACUGAGAGGUUGGUCGGCCACAUUGGGACUGAGAUACGGCCCAGACUCCUACGGGAGGCAGCAGUGGGGAAUAUUGCACAAUGGGCGAAAGCCUGAUGCAGCGACGCCGCGUGGGGGAUGACGGCCUUCGGGUUGUAAACUCCUUUCGCCAGGGACGAAGCGUUUUGUGACGGUACCUGGAGAAGAAGCACCGGCUAACUACGUG